rnacentral:lncRNA from 1 species
GGAGAGAUCUUAGCCUGUAGGGUUAUUCUUACCCUUGGCCUUCUUCUCCUCGUUUUCAUUGGGUCACUGCACUAAAGCUAAGGAUUUAUUUUCUUAGUUACAUGAGUUCGAUCCCUUUCUUGUCCUCUUCAAUCUUUGAAAGCUCAGCCAAUCCGAGAGUUUGUUUAAGAGUCUUUCUAUGGGAAUAAAGAGAGGGUACUGAUCACUAGCCGAAUCUGCUACUGUAGGAAAGAAGAUCUAUGUGACCAAAUUUUCCUGUGAUUUGUUGAUUCACAUCGAUAAAACCAGUUGUGUGCCACAUACAUGGCACGAAUCCCGAGUUUCCUCUUACCGAUAGGCAUCAAUCCAAGUCGCUGAGGGACUUAACUAGGAGUUCCCCUCUGGACCUGAGAGAAGAGAAGGUUCGCGAUCCAACACAGAUUAUAAAUCAAUAUGCAUUGAAUGAUGGUCCAUUCCCUGGAAAAUUAGGGUAAGCCAAAGGUUCUGUUC